CUACAAAAACUCAUGGACUGUGGGAUGAUUAAUUAUAUUUGUAUCAUCGCCUCUACCUCCUCUAAUACCACACACACCACCUCCUCUACUACCUCUACGACCCCAUCUCCUACCGCCACUCCUACCUUGACUUCUUUGUCCCUCCUCAUAUACAUCAUAGUAUCUGAAUCCCCAUCUCCUAUCAUCUUCACAAAGGAGUAUUGACGCGAAGAU
rnacentral:lncRNA from 1 species